CUAAUUCUUUUUUCUCGCCCAAAGUCCCAAACUGGAAAUUUCUCAACUCCGGAACCUCACCGUUCCCGCCGUUAUGAACAUUCCGAUGACCGAAUCUUCUUCUCGCCGUCAGCUUACAGAACAAAAACUUGAGGAGGGAGGAACCCCCAAAACGAAUUCGAAUAAAAACCCCCAAAAAGAUUCUAACUUUGAAAUCGGAGGACUCCCAAAACCUAUAAAGUUUCAGACUUUGAGUCUUCUUCGUGUAUCUGCAACUCAGAAACCGCGAUUUCUCGUUCUCUGUACUAUCAAUUUGGCUCUGUAAAAGGGAAGCAAGUGCAUACUGGACUCGGCCACAGCUUCAGUUUCAGUCAACCCUGUGUCUCUCUUUUGCUUUGAUGAAGCAAAUUUGAAGGCUGCUGUCGCUGUUCAAGCAGGUGUUUGCGUAGACAUCUUUGCUGUUACAAAUGAGUAUACAGAUUUGGCGUCUCUGAAGUUUCUUAGCGUAGAAAGUGGAGGCUCAUUGUACUUUUAUUCAAAUACUGAUGAUUCAACACUUCCACAGGACAUGUACCGGAUGCUAAGUCGACCAUAUGCUUUUGGCUGUGUGCUGCGAUUGAGGACAUCAUCUGAAUUCAAAACUGGUCAUUCUUAUGGUUGUGGUAUACCCAUUCGGGUCGCCACAGUGGGGUGAGGCGCGCUCCCAGAUAGGCGGACCUCACAAUGGUCACUUCUUUCCAGAUCCACAGUAUGAGAAUGGUCAACACAUUAUCUGUUGUGAUUCUUCCGCCACAUAUGCUUAUGACUUUGAGUUUGAAGCUACCAAGGAAUUUGCAAAGUUCUCAUGGCAAAAAGAGCAAAGCAAAUGAAAGCAAGUGCAAAGCUCACAAAAUGACAAAGUAAAAUGGUGCACUUGUGAUUGUUGUUUUAUUUCAAGUGUGGUUAUAAUUUUCAAUACUUGGAAAUGACAACACAUUUAUUUUCAUUUUAGUGUUUGUAUUUGAAUAUGGUACGAUGACUCAAUGGAUAUGUUUAACUAUAUUUUUCAUGAAUUAAUGUUAAUUUCUGCA